UGGGGAAUAUUGCACAAUGGGGGAAACCCUGAUGCAGCAACGCCGCGUGAGUGAUGAAGGCCUUCGGGUUGUAAAGCUCUGUCUUUGGGGACGAUAAUGACGGUACCCAAGGAGGAAGCCACGGCUAACUACGUGCCAGCAGCCGCGGUAAUACGUAGGUGGCAAGCGUUGUCCGGAUUUACUGGGCGUAAAGGGCGCGUAGGUGGAUAUUUAAGUGGGAUGUGAAAUACCUGAGCUUAACUUGGGUGCUGCAUUCCAAACUGGAUAUCUAGAGUGCAGGAGAGGACAGUGGAAUUCCUAGUGUAGCGGUGAAAUGCGUAGAGAUUAGGAAGAACACCAGUGGCGAAGGCGACUUUCUGGACUGUAACUGACACUGAGGCUCGAAAGCGUGGGGAGCAAACA
rnacentral:rRNA from 1 species